AUACAAUCCCAGAGAGUGACAGAUGGUUUGAAACACCCAGGAAGGAAGGAAGGAAGGAAGGAAGGAAGGAAGGAAGGAAGGAAGGAAGGAAGGAAGGAAGGAAGGAAUGCAGCUCUCCAGGACAUGUGAAAUUGGAUGCUCUUCUCUCCUUCUCCUCUCCCCCGUCUCAGAAUGGUGUUGAAAUGUGACUUGUGCCCAGAGGUGCAAAUAUACACUGAGGGUAUCCAGCUUGAUGUCCUUCAAGGAAACUAUAGCUCUUAGCAAAAAGGGCUUGUGUGAACAGAGGCUGGUGCUGAUAGAAGAGGAGGAAAACUGAGCUAAACUGCACCUUCUGCUGCUGUCAAAGAGUCUAAAACCAAAAGACAACUACCAGGAACAGACUGGCCUCACUGUACUACCACUGAGAUCCUUGGAUGGCCAAAGAAGUGUUCUUAUCAUCAUUAUUGCUUUUCCAUGUUUUCCUUAUGGGGCUGAAGCACACAGCACCUGAAUGCCACCAGCUGCUCUGAGAAAAACCUGGGAGAAAAGGUCGACAGGAAUUUAGAAAAUUUGCCUUUGGUGCUCUGAGAGCCACCCACUACAGCCAGCUCUGUCACACAUCUGUUGAAGCAGCAAAAGGUGGUAUCACCCAUGUCACUUCUGGAAACCUGGAGAGAGAUUUGUAGUAACAA